AAGAAAUCUUUCUACUGCCGCGAGCGCAAAAGCGUGUGAUUGCUCCUGAAAACCCAAACAGCUUGCAUAGACCAGUACCAGCUCAUACUCUGUCUGCGCUCUCUCGCCCACGGACCUCAGUGAUAUAAAAAGCCUAUCUAAUCUGGCAGCCGGAGCACAAGACCUUGCGAAUUGCACUAAACUGCUCACAUUGUGGUGUUACACCAAAGUUCAGAACAGACCCAAGCGGUUCCAAAGGUCGAGAAGUUGCAGGGCAAUCGAAUAGGAGGCUAUCAAUGUCCUGAAAUACCCGUAAUAUAAUGGUUAUAAUUCACCCACAGCCAAGGGUUUGCUUUUAUUUACAGAGGCAACUUUGUAAUUUACAAAAAUGGUAACGAAUAAAUCAAAUAUGUGGAAGCAUAUAUGUAUGUAUGUAAUAUAA